AUCCUCCCUGCAGGGGACAUUGGUCCUGUCCUCAGCGUCUCCUUCUCCCCGCAAUGCCCACACCAGCCACUCACUAAGUCUUGUCCACCCUUCCUGGGACACUGACCCCUGACUGUUUCUGGUCCUGGCACCUCCUCCAGGCCCCCAGCCCCUCUCACUCCCAGUCUUCCACCUGUCUUCCCUUUUCCAAGUGCCCAGCAGAACUCCCUGCCCAUGGGAACCAGGUGUUCUGUCACUGUUGUUUGAACAAGUAGUGAAAAAUGGGAGCAACAUGAGACCACGUAAGCCCUCAAUGUGUUCUUUUGUUCUAUGUUUGGAGGGUAAAUGAAGAGCUCAUCAGCACCCAACGCAGAGAGGCCCACUGUGCUAUAGACUGUUCACCUGUUAGAACCUGAAUUGUAGAUUCAUACUUAGGACUUAGCUUCCCCCUGCAACACGGGUUCUAUCAGGGCAGGGCUUAUCUUUUUUUGCCACCAUAUUAUGAGGUAAGGAACUUGGUGCCCGUGCCCAUAAUGUGUGUUUUGUAUGACAUGAAACAUAAAUAAAUAAAAGGUCUCCGAUCCUUACAACAACCCUAUAAGGUUAAUAUUUCCCAUUGGAGACUGAAGCUCAAAGAGGUUAGUGUCCAAGGCCAUCAUAAGACAGUUGGAAACCAAGUAGGGAAAACCUUACCUUUGAAGCCCAUUUUCUUUCUACACUUCUGAGUUGCACUCCUGGACCUUCUUAGCUAUGAGAACUGGACACUCACAUCAAAGAGAAGAAUAAAAUUAUAUUUAAAAAAUAAUGCAAGGGAGGCAGAAUUUUUCUGUUUAAAAUCAGAAAACCUGCCACUUACAAAACUAGACUAGUCAAAGAAAAAUUGAUGGUGGACUUAGCACCUGGAAGAGAGUGAGCUUUGGAAGCUUUGGGAGAGAGAGACUGGGUGGCCUGAGUGACUCAGUCCCGUGGGGGAGCACAGCUCAGGCUGGAGGAGACUGCUUUCUCCAGAAUGCACCCUGCCACCAGGAACCAGCCUCUGACCACGCUGCUCAUGGGCAACCAAGCUGUUCUUAGCCAGCACCAAAGAACACCGGAAUUCAGCCAGUUUUGUCUCAUACUCUAACAAAGGAGGUUGAAAAAAAGUCCUCUAUUUUAUUUAUAUCACUUUAGGGUCACAAAACUCCCAAACAGGUUUCCUAUAUGAUGAAACAGGCAUUUUGUUCUCCCCCUUUUGCUUGAAAAAGUUGCAAUUUCUUAGUAAACAUUACUCAGCUAGUCCUUACCAUAACCCAUGAUGAAGGCAGUAUUUAUUUUUAGUUUCAUCUUCACAGCAAGGAAACACACUCACAGAUGGAAAACGAUUUCACUAAGGUCAUCCAGUGAGUCAGUGACAGGACCCAGUGGGGCAAAUUAGGCACCUGGGUCUUGGUUAUUAAACUUUGAGGCUCUACUAACAAUCCAAGACCCAAAAAAAGCAGUUUUACCAUAUCUUCUGAAAGUAAUUUUAAUGCCAAGCUUUGUUGUAUGUUGUUUUCUGCUUAUCAGCCAUCGUACUGCAGCAUUCUUUCCAGUUGGAAGGCCCCACUCUGUGUCAUUUAAGGAUGGCAUGAGAUAUAGGUGUAAAGUACUGAGCAUAACAUACAGGAUAUAGUAUCUGCUCAAUUAAAAAAUGCCCCCUUCCCAUGUGUGGGAAUUCUGUGUCAUUUCCCAUUUCUCUUCUAUCUGAUAAAAUAAGAGCUAUGCCUGCCAAUCCAUGGUAUCUGCAGAGUAAGUGGCAAGUACAAAUAAAACCAGUCACAGCCACCUCACUGCACUGUUUCCACUGGCUGACUUUAGCUUCCUGAACAUGAAUAAAAUGAACUGGGCUCAUUUGUUUUAGAGCAUAUUCUCAAAUACUAUUGGGUGGUUAUAAAAGUAAUACCUAUGCAGUAUUUUUUAAAAUGUGACAAAUGCAAAUAAGAAAACAAAAAUCACCUAUCAUUCUAAUUAAAUUUUAGAUGUAGUUUGUGAUUUCAUAGGCCCCAAAUACAUAUCUAAUUAUUUUACCCAAAUUUAUAUUGCUUCUAUUUUUAUUGUGGUCAUAAGUACAGUUAUGAAUAGUCUGUUCAAUACCUUUGCCUAUUUAUCUGAGUUUAUAUGUUUUCUGUCAAUUCUCAAUCUAAAAUUUUAAGAAAGAUUUGGGGACUUGGAGUCCUUCCCCUGGCUGGGAAUUGCUCCUCACAUGGCCAGUGGCAGAAUGUUAUCUUUAUCAGAUAUCAGGCUACCGUCAAAGAAUGGCCCACUGCUAGACAUUUCAGAAAUUAACACAGAAGAUCUUCUGACUUCACCUACUGUUGGCGUCUGUGUUUCACAGUUUUCUUGCAACCUACACUAAAAGAGUGUGUCCCAAAUCCUCAAAUAUCACAGCACACCAUCCAAAUAAAACAUGUAUUAGGAAUGAGAAAAAUAUGCUUAUAUCUAUUAUUACCUAGUCAUACUUUAAAAAGAAAAAAAAAAUCUUGGCUUCUUUGUAAAUCUUCAUGCAACAUUACCUACUUUUUGUGUAAUUAAACUCUGAAACCUUUUUUAUCUAGAUCAGGAAAUGUGGUUUGAUUAACAUGAGAGAUUUUAAAAUAAUCUCUCUCAGGUAUAUAAGAGAAUGAAGUGUGCACACUAAAUGGCGAUAUGAUACUGCUGUUAAACUUAAGAGUUGCCUGGGCACUUGUUCAGAUUAAUAUUAUGGCACUUUCCUUAUAUUGCCAGAGUCCCAGACAGAGAAGUUAAAUGACGUCUCCAAGGGCAAACAGCUGCAAAAUUAUAGAGCUCAGCUUUUAAGACAGACUUCCAUCAGUCAGUUCCCUGGGAGCACUAGUUCAGCUCUGCUCAGUUAAACAUGCAUUGUAGAAACCACUGAGUGUUGGACACCGUGCUGGGCUUUGAGGUUACACAGAUGCCAAGGAGACUGUCCUCUGGUGGGCAUUUGUCUGGUGGUAAGUCACAGUCAGCCAACAGUGUCUCCAGAUUGUGGGAUGCACAGGGUUGAAGGCUUCCCCCAGAAGAGGCUGCCUAAACAGAGUUGCAAAA
rnacentral:lncRNA from 10 species